rnacentral:rRNA from 1 species
GAUGAACGCUGGCGGCGUGCUUAACACAUGCAAGUCGAACGGAAAGGCCCAAGCUUGCUUGGGUACUCGAGUGGCGAACGGGUGAGUAACACGUGGGUGAUCUGCCCUGCACUUCGGGAUAAGCCUGGGAAACUGGGUCUAAUACCGGAUAGGACGAUGGUUUGGAUGCCAUUGUGGAAAGUUUUUUCGGUGUGGGAUGAGCUCGCGGCCUAUCAGCUUGUUGGUGGGGUAAUGGCCUACCAAGGCGUCGACGGGUAGCCGGCCUGAGAGGGUGUACGGCCACAUUGGGACUGAGAUACGGCCCAGACUCCUACGGGAGGCAGCAGUGGGGAAUAUCGCACAAUGGGCGCAAGCCUGAUGCAGCGACGCCGCGUGGGGGAUGACGGCCUUCGGGUUGUAAACUCCUUUCGCUAGGGACGAAGCGUUUUUGUGACGGUACCUGGAGAAGAAGCACCGGCUAACUACGUG